CACGCCGUAAACGAUGAAUGUUAGCCGUCGGGCAGCUUGCUGUUCGGUGGCGCAGCUAACGCAUUAAACAUUCCGCCUGGGGAGUACGGUCGCAAGAUUAAAACUCAAAGGAAUUGACGG
rnacentral:rRNA from 1 species